UACGGAGGAUGCAAGCGUUAUCCGGAUUUAUUGGGUUUAAGGGGUGCGCAGGUUGUUUGAUAAGACAGUGGUGAAAGUCUGUCGCUUAACGGUAGGAUUGCCAUUGAUACUGUUAGACUUGAAUAUGGAUGAGGUAGGCGGAAUGUGUAGUGUAGCGGUGAAAUGCAUAGAUAUUACACAGAACACCGAUUGCGAAGGCAGCUUACUAAUCCAUCAUUGACGAUGAGGCACGAAAGCGUGGGGAUCAAACAGGA
rnacentral:rRNA from 1 species